rnacentral:rRNA from 1 species
GACGAACGCUGGCGGCGUGCUUAACACAUGCAAGUCGAACGAUGAAGCCUUAGCUUGCUUUGGUGGAUUAGUGGCGAACGGGUGAGUAACACGUGAGCAACGUGCCCAGGACUCUGGAAUAACCGCGGGAAACCGUGGCUAAUACCGGAUAGGUGCCGAGGCCGCAUGGUCUUCGGUUGGAAAGUUUUUGCGGUUCUGGAUCGGCUCACGGCCUAUCAGCUUGUUGGUGGGGUAAUGGCAUACCAAGGCGACGACGGGUAGCCGGCCUGAGAGGGUGACCGGCCUCACUGGGACUGAGACACGGCCCAGACUCCUACGGGAGGCAGCAGUGGGGAAUAUUGCACAGUGGGCGCAAGCCUGAUGCAGCAACUCCGCGUGGGGGAUGGCGGCCUUCGGGUUGUAAACCUCUUUUAGUAGGGAAGAAGCGCAAGUGACGGUACCUGCAGAAAAAGCACCGGCUAACUACGUG